GUCUGCCUUCUAAGCAGAGGGUCGGGAGUUCGAAUCUCCCCGGGCGCG
rnacentral:tRNA from 1 species